rnacentral:tRNA from 1 species
CAAGACGUAGCUUUAACGAAAGCAUUCAGCUUACACCUGAAAGAUAUCUGUUAACAUCAGAUCGUCUUGA